rnacentral:piRNA from 1 species
GCAUAAGGAAUAAGUAGUUUGGUGUCUGA